ACUACCUUUUAAAAGGUUUACAUGUGGCUGGCUGUGUGUUCUGCAGUAGAGGGAAAUACAGUGUCCCUGUUGAAACCGGCACAUGUUCACACAGUCUCCCACACAGAGCUGAGCUUGCAGCAGACAGAACACUAUGAAUAUGCUUUACAACAGUUACGCUUUACAUUGGCCUACUUUAAUUUAUUAGGGUGAAGCAAGUGACGAAGACACCCUCUCUGUGUGUUCUGAAACCAUUGCUGAGGUGAAUGCAUUUGUUUUUUAUGGCACACAUUUUAAUGUCACACAAAUGUGACUGGCCCUUAUUUUUUAUUGUAGGAUUUUUCACAACCUGCCCCACAAACUGAUGCCUCUACCUCAAUGGGCUUCAGAAGGAAUGUGAACAAGGUGGAAACUGACUCAGUCAGGGCCCUUUACAAAAGGAGCCUAGAAUUGGACUGCACACUAAAGGAGCUGGACUGUGAGCUGAGGAGCCUCCAAAUUAAAAAAAUUAAAUUGGAGAUCAAACAGCUGGAAAAACAGAUCUCACCACAUCAACAAUAAAACCAUUUGAGACCUAUCUGCAGUUUCAAUGUGCUUUUAUUAAGUAAAAUAUUGUAUGGUGACUGCAUCUCUGACAGCUGCGCCAGCUGG